CAGGAAAAGAAAUUGAGCCCAGUGCAAAUAAAUGACUUGGCAAAGGCCAUGCGUCUAGCAUAUGUGACGGCAGGGGAUGCAAAAGCAAAGAUGGGACUUGCAAGCUUGCCCUCCACCCUCCAACACUGACAUCCCACCCAGUGCCGACAUCCACAGGCUGUGUCAUCCUACGCACUCACCCCUCCUCUCUCUUCUCAGUUGCCUUUUCAGGAAUAUGAGAAAUGACAAAAAUGGAUACUAUUCCCCAAGGAUCAAGUUCAAAAUUCUGGAAAUCGAACAAAGGGACUGAACGAAUUGGGAAGCAUUUAUUCAAGAAAGACUACUGAACCUCAGCUUUGGUCUUUCAGCCUGGGGGAGCAGACUCUCUAGCUUCCAGCACCAACCCUUGGACUUUGCAGCACAGAUCAUUCAGUCUUUCAUCAUGGACUCCGUACCAUCCUGGUGUGGACUUGCCAUGGACAUUCGUGGCAUCCAGGUCCUCACAUCUCCAGAGAACAUAUAGAUCUCUUGCACUCUUCUACAUCUGACUCUUGUAAACAUUGACUAAUACAACAUUCCUAUAUAUUUCUGGCUCAAGCUAAGCACAAAAAUAAAAGAGACUGGA